GGGUGAGUAACACUUGAUGGAGAAGCAGGGCACGUGCGAACACAAAUGAGAUCGAUCGGUACAUGAUGAUCAUAUUUUCGCACGUGUUCUACUCCUCCAACACGUGUCUCUCCCC
rnacentral:pre_miRNA from 1 species